GUUACAUUUGUAGUCAUCCACAUGAGAACCUUUCUCGGCCUUCACUGGUCGGUUGGGGGAUCAUGUACUUUUACUUUAGAAAAAAUCAGAGUGUUUCAGGCAGGCGUUUGCAUGAAUACACAAGCAUGGAAUAAUGGAAUAGGACUAGGGUCCUAUUUUAUUUGGUUAUUGGACCAUAGUAAUGAUUAAUAGGGACAGGUUGGGGCAUUAGUAUUUAAUUGUCAGAGGUGAAAUUCUUGGAUUUAUUAAAGACUAACUUAUGCGAAAGCAUUUGCCAAGGAUGUUUUCAUUAAUCAAGAACGAAAGUUAGGGGAUCAAAGACGAUCAGAUACCGUCCUAGUCUUAACUAUAAACUAUACCGACUAGGGAUUGGUUGGGUCAUUAGAGCCCAAUCAGCACCUUAUGAGAAAUCAAAGUCUUUGGGUUCUGGGGGG
rnacentral:rRNA from 1 species